UCUGUCUUAGUGGCGGACGGGUGAGUAACGCGUGGGCAACCUGCCCUGUACCGGGGGAUAACACUUAGAAAUAGGUGCUAAUACCGCAUAAUAGGGAAUACCGCAUGGUAAUCCUUUGAAAACUCCGGUGGUACAGGAUGGGCCCGCGUCUGAUUAGCCAGUUGGCGGGGUAACGGCCCACCAAAGCGACGAUCAGCAGCCGGCCUGAGAGGGUGGACGGCCACACUGGGACUGAGACACGACCCAGACUCCUACGGGAGGCAGCAG
rnacentral:rRNA from 1 species